rnacentral:rRNA from 1 species
GAUGAACGCUGGCGGCGUGCUUAACACAUGCAAGUCGAACGGGAAACCUUUUAUUGAAGCUUCGGCAGAUUUAGCUGGUUUCUAGUGGCGGACGGGUGAGUAACGCGUGGGUAACCUGCCUUAUACAGGGGGAUAACAACCAGAAAUGGUUGCUAAUACCGCAUAAGCGCACAGGACCGCAUGGUCCGGUGUGAAAAACUCCGGUGGUAUAAGAUGGACCCACGUUGGAUUAGCUAGUUGGCAGGGUAACGGCCUACCAAGGCGACGAUCCAUAGCCGGCCUGAGAGGGUGAACGGCCACAUUGGGACUGAGACACGGCCCAGACUCCUACGGGAGGCAGCAGUGGGGAAUAUUGCACAAUGGGGGAAACCCUGAUGCAGCGACGCCGCGUGAAGGAAGAAGUAUCUCGGUAUGUAAACUUCUAUCAGCAGGGAAGAUAGUGACGGU